rnacentral:rRNA from 1 species
GACGAACGCUGGCGGCGUGCUUAACACAUGCGAGUCGAACGGAAAGGCCCCUUUGGGGGUACUCGAGUGGCGAACGGGUGAGUAACACGUGAGUAACCUGCCCUUGACUUCGGGAUAACUUCAGGAAACUGGGGCUAAUACCGGAUAGGAAUCCUUGCUGCAUGGUGGGGGUUGGAAAGCUUCGGCGGUUUUGGAUGGACUCGCGGCUUAUCAGCUUGUUGGUGGGGUAGUGGCUUACCAAGGCUUUGACGGGUAGCCGGCCUGAGAGGGCGACCGGCCACAUUGGGACUGAGAUACGGCCCAGACUCCUACGGGAGGCAGCAGUGGGGAAUAUUGCACAAUGGGCGGAAGCCUGAUGCAGCAACGCCGCGUGCGGGAUGACGGCCUUCGGGUUGUAAACCGCUUUCAGCAGGGGCGAAGCUUGUGGUGACGGUACCUGCAGAAGAAGCACCGGCUAACUAC